rnacentral:tRNA from 1 species
GCCUGGUUGGCUCAGUCGGCAGAACAAGGGACUCUUGAUCUUGGGGUCAUGAGUUCAAGCCUCACAUUGGGCA